rnacentral:rRNA from 1 species
GAUGAACGCUGGCGGCGUGCUUAACACAUGCAAGUCGAGCGAUGAAGUUUCCUUCGGGAAACGGAUUAGCGGCGGACGGGUGAGUAACACGUGGGUAACCUGCCUCAUAGAGUGGAAUAGCCUUCCGAAAGGAAGAUUAAUACCGCAUAAUGUUGAAAGAUGGCAUCAUCAUUCAACCAAAGGAGCAAUCCGCUAUGAGAUGGACCCGCGGCGCAUUAGCUAGUUGGUGGGGUAACGGCCUACCAAGGCGACGAUGCGUAGCCGACCUGAGAGGGUGAUCGGCCACAUUGGGACUGAGACACGGCCCAGACUCCUACGGGAGGCAGCAGUGGGGAAUAUUGCACAAUGGGGGAAACCCUGAUGCAGCAACGCCGCGUGAGUGAUGAAGGUUUUCGGAUCGUAAAGCUCUGUCUUUGGGAAAGAUAAUGACGGUACCCAAGGAGGAAGCCACGGCUAACUACGUGCCAGCAGCCGCGGUAAUACGUAGGUGGCGAGCGUUAUCCGGAUUUACUGGGCGUAAAGGGAGCGUAGGCGGAUGAUUAAGUGGGAUGUGAAAUACCCGGGCUCAACUUGGGUGCUGCAUUCCAAACUGGUUAUCUAGAGUGCAGGAGAGGAGAGUGGAAUUCCUAGUGUAGCGGUGAAAUGCGUAGAGAUUAGGAAGAACACCAGUGGCGAAGGCGACUCUCUGGACUGUAACUGACGCUGAGGCUCGAAAGCGUGGGGAGCAAACAGGAUUAGAUACCCUGGUAGUCCACGCUGUAAACGAUGAAUACUAGGUGUGGGGGUUUCAACACCUCCGUGCCGCCGCUAACGCAUUAAGUAUUCCGCCUGGGGAGUACGGUCGCAAGAUUAAAACUCAAAGGAAUUGACGGGGACCCGCACAAGUAGCGGAGCAUGUGGUUUAAUUCGAAGCAACGCGAAGAACCUUACCUACGCUUGACAUCCCUUGCAUUACUCUUAAUCGAGGAAAUCCCUUCGGGGACAAGGUGACAGGUGGUGCAUGGUUGUCGUCAGCUCGUGUCGUGAGAUGUUGGGUUAAGUCCCGCAACGAGCGCAACCCUUGUCGUUAGUUACUACCAUUAAGUUGAGGACUCUAGCGAGACUGCCUGGGUUAACCAGGAGGAAGGUGGGGAUGACGUCAAAUCAUCAUGCCCCUUAUGUGUAGGGCUACACACGUGCUACAAUGGCUGGUACAGAGAGAUGCAAUACCGCGAGGUGGAGCCAAACUUAAAAACCAGUCUCAGUUCGGAUUGUAGGCUGAAACUCGCCUACAUGAAGCUGGAGUUACUAGUAAUCGCGAAUCAGAAUGUCGCGGUGAAUACGUUCCCGGGUCUUGUACACACCGCCCGUCACACCAUGAGAGUUGGCAAUACCCGAAGUCCGUGAGCUAACCGCAAGGAGGCAGCGGCCGAAGGUAGGGUCAGCGAUUGGGGUGAAGUCAUAACA